UCAAGAAACUUCCACAAUGGGCGAAAGCCUGAUGGAGCGACGUCGCGUGAUGGACGAAGUGCUUCGGCACGUAAACAUCUUUUUAUGUGGGAUGAAAUUAUUGACAGUACCACAUGAAUAAGGGGCUCCUAACUCUGUGCCAGCAGGAGCGGUAAUACAGAGGCCCCAAGCGUUAUCCGGAAUCACUGGGCGUAAAGGGUGUCGAGGCGGUUGUAUUAGUCGUUCGUAAAAUCUACGAGCUUAACUUGUAGGCGGCGAACGAAACGGUACGACUUGAGGUUUGGGGAGGUGCGUGGAACUCACGGUGUAGGGGUGAAAUCCGUUGAUAUCGUGGGGAACACCAAAGGCGAAGGCAGCGCACUGGCCAAAAUCUGACGCUCACACACGAAAGCUAGGGUAGCGAAGAGGAUUAGAUACCCCCGUAGUCCCUGAGCGGGCUGGCAAGGCG
rnacentral:rRNA from 1 species